rnacentral:rRNA from 1 species
CCUGGGAACUAAGCAUAUCAAUAAGCGGAGGAAAAGAAACUAACAAGGAUUCCCCUAGUAACUGCGAGUGAAGCGGGAAAAGCUCAAAUUUAAAAUCUGGUGGUCUUUGGCCAUCCGAGUUGUAAUUUAGAGAAGCGUCUUCCGCGCUGGACCGUGCACAAGUCUCCUGGAAUGGAGCGUCACAGAGGGUGAGAAUCCCGUCUUUGGCACGGACACACCAGGGCUUUUGUGAUGCGCUCUCGAAGAGUCGAGUUGUUUGGGAAUGCAGCUCAAAAUGGGUGGUGAACUCCAUCUAAAGCUAAAUAUUGGCGAGAGACCGAUAGCGAACAAGUACCGUGAGGGAAAGAUGAAAAGCACUUUGGAAAGAGAGUGAAACAGUACGUGAAAUUGUUGAAAGGGAAACGCUUGAAGUCAGUCGCGUCGACCGAGACUCAGCCUUGCCUUGGCUCGGUGUACUUCUCGGCCGACGGGUCAGCAUCAAUUUUGCCCCUUGGAUAAUGGCGAGGGAAAUGUGACACCUUUAUGGUGUGUUAUAGUCUCUUGUCGCAUGCAAGGGUUGGGAUUGAGGAACUCAGCACGCGCCUUUGGGUGUCGGGGCUUUGCCCACGAUACGUGCUUAGGAUGUUGGCGUAAUGGCUUUAAACGACCCGUCUUGAAACACGGACCAAGGAGUCUAACAUGCCUGCGAGUGUUCGGGUGGAAAACCCGUGCGCGCAAUGAAAGUGAAAGUCGGGACCUCUGUCGUGGAGGGCACCGACGCCCGGACCAGACCUUCUGUGACGGCUCUGCGGUAGAGCAUGCAUGUUAGGACCCGAAAGAUGGUGAACUAUGCCUGAAUAGGGUGAAGCCAGAGGAAACUCUGGUGGAGGCUCGUAGCGAUUCUGACGUGCAAAUCGAUCGUCAAAUUUGGGUAUAGGGGCGAAAGACUAAUCGAACCAUCUAGUAGCUGGUUCCUGCCGAAUUUCCCUCCAGAAAAAA